UUUGUUGCGAUGGAAUAAAGUUGCUUUUCUAUGCUUUGACCAGUACAGAAACUUCGUUUCAAGUGAUUUUAAUUUCAGGACGUAAUUUUUCAUUUAUUCUGAUGAAUUAUGGUGACAUUGCUGUAACAGGGCAUCCAGUGCAGGCUGGUUAUGACACGAUAAACUCCACACACUACUUUGUGAUUCCUGGAUCAAACAAUGGGAGCUCCAUCUCAAACCUCAGGAACUCCAGUAAUGUUAAUGUUCCUGGUCGAUGGGCCUUCAGGGUGGACGGUGGAUCAAAGUCAAACA